rnacentral:tRNA from 1 species
GGUAGUGUAGCCGAGCGGUCUAAGGGGCUGGAUUUAGUCUCGCUGGAGGCGUGGGUUCAAAUCCCACCACUGCCA